rnacentral:rRNA from 1 species
GACGAACGCUGGCGGCGUGCUUAACACAUGCAAGUCGAACGGUGAAGGGGCCUGCUCUUGUGGGUCCUGGAUGAGUGGCGAACGGGUGAGUAACACGUGAGUAACCUGCCCCCUUCUUCUGGAUAACCGCAUGAAAGUGUGGCUAAUACGGGAUAUUCUGGGUCUGUCGCAUGGUGGGCCUGGGAAAGAUUGCGCCUUUUUUGGUGUUUUUGGUGGGGGAUGGGCUCGCGGCCUAUCAGCUUGUUGGUGGGGUGAUGGCCUACCAAGGCGGUGACGGGUAGCCGGCCUGAGAGGGUGGACGGUCACACUGGGACUGAGACACGGCCCAGACUCCUACGGGAGGCAGCAGUGGGGAAUAUUGCACAAUGGGCGCAAGCCUGAUGCAGCGACGCCGCGUGAGGGAUGGAGGCCUUCGGGUUGUGAACCUCUUUCGCCAGUGAAGCAGGCCUGCCUCGUUUGUG